CAGCGCCACAAGUGGGGACCAGUAUUAUUGGGCCUAAAGCGUCCGUAGCCGGAUGAAUAAAUCCUUUGUGAAAUUGUUGGGCUUAACCUAACAGCGUGCAGAGGACACUGUUUAUCUUGAGACCGGGAGGAGUCAGAGGUAUGCUAGGGGAAGCGGUAAAAUGCUGUAAUCCCUAGUGGACCACCUGUGGCGAAGGCGUCUGACUAGAACGGGUCUGACGGUGAGGGACGAAAGCUGGGGGAGCGAUCCGGAUUAGAUACCCGAGUAGUCC
rnacentral:rRNA from 1 species